rnacentral:rRNA from 1 species
CGACUUAUAUUCUGUAGCAAGGUUAACCGUAUAGGGGAGCCGAAGGGAAACCGAGUCUUAACCGGGCGUUAAGUUGCAGGGUAUAGACCCGAAACCCGGUGAUCUAGCCAUGGGCAGGUUGAAGGUUGGGUAACACUAACUGGAGGACCGAACCGACUAAUGUUGAAAAAUUAGCGGAUGACCUGUGGCUGGGGGUGAAAGGCCAAUCAAACCGGGAGAUAGCUGGUUCUCCCCGAAAGCUAUUUAGGUAGCGCCUCGUGAAUUCAUCUCCGGGGGUAGAGCACUGUUUCGGCUAGGGGGCCAUCCCGGCUUACCAACCCGAUGCAAACUGCGAAUACCGGAGAAUGUUAUCACGGGAGACACACGGCGGGUGCUAACGUCCGUCGUGAAGAGGGAAACAACCCAGACCGCCAGCUAAGGUCCCAAAGUCAUAGUUAAGUGGGAAACGAUGUGGGAAGGCCCAGACAGCCAGGAUGUUGGCUUAGAAGCAGCCAUCAUUUAAAGAAAGCGUAAUAGCUCACUGGUCGAGUCGGCCUGCGCGGAAGAUGUAACGGGGCUAAACUAUGCACCGAAGCUGCGGCAGCGACACUAUGUGUUGUUGGGUAGGGGAGCGUUCUGUAAGCCUGUGAAGGUGUGUCGUGAGGCAUGCUGGAGGUAUCAGAAGUGCGAAUGCUGACAUAAGUAACGAUAAAGCGGGUGAAAAGCCCGCUCGCCGGAAGACCAAGGGUUCCUGUCCAACGUUAAUCGGGGCAGGGUGAGUCGACCCCUAAGGCGAGGCCGAAAGGCGUAGUCGAUGGGAAACGGGUUAAUAUUCCCGUACUUGGUGUUACUGCGAAGGGGGGACGGAGAAGGCUAUGUUGGCCGGGCGACGGUUGUCCCGGUUUAAGCGUGUAGGUGUGUGUUCCAGGUAAAUCCGGUU